GAUGAACGCUAGCUACAGGCUUAACACAUGCAAGUCGCGGGGCAGCAUGGGGGUUGCUUGCAACUCCCGAUGGCGACCGGCGCACGGGUGAGUAACGCGUAUCCAACCUGCCCUUCACCACGGGAUAACCCGGCGAAAGUCGGACUAAUACCGUAUGUUGUCCAUUGACGGCAUCCGAUUUGGACGAAAGGCUUUGCGGUGAAGGAUGGGGAUGCGUCCGAUUAGCCAGACGGCGGGGUAACGGCCCACCGUGGCUACGAUCGGUAGGGGUUCUGAGAGGAAGGUCCCCCACACGGGAACGGAGACACGGUCCAGACUCCGACGGGAGGCAGCAGUGAGGAAUAUUGGUCAAGGGGCGUAAGCCUGAACCAGCCAAGUAGCGUGCAGGAUGACGGCCCUAUGGGUUGUAAACUGCUUUUAUGCGGGGAUAAAGUGGCCCACGUGUGGGCUUUUGCAGGUACCGCAUGAAUAAGGACCGGCUAAUUCCGUG
rnacentral:rRNA from 1 species